rnacentral:rRNA from 1 species
UGGGUAACCUGCCUCAAAGAGGGGAAUAGCCUCCCGAAAGGGAGAUUAAUACCGCAUAAUAUGUUUUAAUCGCAUGAUUUUAACAUCAAAGGAUUUUCUUAGGAAAUUCCACUUUGAGAUGGACCCGCGGCGCAUUAGCUAGUUGGUGAGGUAACGGCUCACCAAGGCAACGAUGCGUAGCCGACCUGAGAGGUGAUCGGCCACAUUGGAACUGAGACACGGUCCAGCUCCGUAGGAG